GGGGGCACAUUUAGCUCAGCUCUGCUUUUAAGCUGGCUGCUUGCACACUCUGAUGUGCAGGAGGAAGCAGAUCUGUAUCUGGGACCACCAGAUGCAACUGCACAGCCCAUUGCCCGUGACUUGAACUAGAGGGGAGGGAGCAGGAUGCUACGUAGACCAUCAUAUUACCAUGCAGAAAGAAACAUGUUUCUAAUGGAAUUUUUUCAGAGACAUAAUUUCACAGAGUAUGUGGAAAGAGAUCUUUUAUUUCACAGUGCUCCCAUGCCAUAGUGCUCCUCCCUCAGUUGUUUUGCACGGGGCGUGACAUUCCCACCCAGAUUUCCCCCGUGGCCCUCCGUAUUCAUAGGCAGGAAUGGGCAUAACUUAAGUGUCUGUUUAGUAUGGAACGGAAGGGUGCUCUCUGCCAAGGUAAACAUUAUGAAUAGAGAAGUGAGGUUGGCCUCCAGGCAGAUUAUCUUAAGGAUAGCCUCGGCUCUUGCUUUCGGUUCAUGUCACAAGCACAGUUUCUGGACAACGAGAAAAAGAAAAAAGUGCAUCCACUUUCCUCUCCCCCUUCCUCGGCUUGCCACCACACCACAGCUAUUUAUUUUACCCCACCAUUAUUCUGCUUCUUCCCUACCCCACCCCCCCUGUGAUUUGCACCUGGACCAGGUCCCAAAAGCCUAUCAGGAUUUGGGCAACAUAUCUUGCUACAGCUCAUAAGAAGGGGAGGGUUUCCCUCCCAAUUUUGCCCAUGAGACUGGCAGGAUAUGUGUUGGAGUAGCCUGCAUUCCUCUUUGCUCUGGGUUUCUAUCAGCCCCAGGCUAAAAAUAAUAAUAAUUAAAUAACUUAAGAUGGGCUCACAGGCUAUAAAUGUUUACAUUGCUGGAUCAUGUACUGAAUUUAAUAUAUUUUGACUCUGUAGGAUUCUUUUUGUUUGUUUGUAACCAUUAUUGCAAUGAUGCUCUUUUUUUUUUACUACUAUAAUUAUUUUGGUCCAGCUCCUGAGAUCAUUUUAAUAAUUUCAGCCUCAGUUUCCCAAAUGGAUUGGACGAGAACACUAAUCAUAAGCGGAGCAGCGAGUACGGUGCCAGCAGUCUGGCGUACACAGAAGCGGCAGGCUGUCAAGUAUUUGUUGCUUGUGGAGCAAGGGUGUGUGAGUGAGUUUGUUCCCUGAGGAUUAGGAACCCUACUGCCUCCAUUUAAUCUUCUGUGAAUGCGCAUGCGCACACAUGCACACCCUUGAUCUCGAAGUGAUGGAGAGAAAGGAAGGAGAACCUGGAAGGAAGAUAGAAGUGGGAAAUGCCUGCUCUCACUCUGUACAACCCAAAACCUGUACAGUGCAAAUCAAAUCAUGUCCCCCAGUGUUAAUGCAAGGAGACUGAGAGAUGAAAAAGGCCCCCCUCCCAGUGUACCCCAAGCUGUGACCCCAAUUUUGUGGAGGGCAGGAGGAGAGGCUAGCCCCACUCAUAUGCUACCUGGCCACACAGCAGGCUCAACCAGAGAGACCCCUCCCCCAGCAGCAGGAAGCGCCCCUCUUUGCUCAGCGAUCUUUGUGGUGUGUUAACCGUGAGGUCAUCGUGUGUGCAAUGGAGUCAUAUUUGCUAAGCGUCGUGUUUUACCGUCUUUUUUUGUGGAAGUACAGUGCAGCGCUGAGGGGCUGGGGAGUCGAGCGAGGGCUGGGCAGGGGCGGGCCGAGGAGCUGAUCGCAGCCGCUUAGGAAGGCAGUGGCCUUGGAGGGAUGGUGGUGAUGAGCAGGGAGACGAAGGAGAGCAACUGAGGUGGCAGAAAACAAAACUGAAAUCAUGGGAGUGUGUGGGAUAGUUCACUGGUUGCCUUGGAAAUUGAGAUUUAUUUAUUUACUGCCACCCACCCACCUGGGCUUCUAUGGGGAUACUCAGCCUGUAGCCCUGACUUGAGGGUCAGCGGCCAAGCUAGCCAACAGAAGCAGCUUUGACCAUCCCAAUGGUACAUCAGUUGAUCUGGCCUCUGCAGGCUUUCCUUGUCCCCUUCCCAUUAAGUCACUGAAACCCGUGAAUGCGGCUGACAAUCCUGAGACCACCCACGUCUCGCCUGCCUGCCUUGGAAUAGCUUCAUGAAGCAAGUGCCAAGCAGAGGAGACGUCUUGUGUGCCACAUGGCCGAGAAUGCAUGUGGCAUGGCCCAUGUCCUUGUAGCUUCAGGCACUGUGGCACCCAUCAGCCAUAACAGGGAAGCAAGGCGUGCCCUCACUUUUCCAUUAACACUUGGUGCUCCAGUGACUUAGGAUUUCUGGUCAUCCCCAGAGUGAACACACUGGUGCUGAUGCACGUGACUAAGUUAGGUCUGUUGACUUUGGUAGCUCUACUCUGAGCAGGGCUUGGUUGGACACAAUCCUCAGCUAAAACGUCAAACAAUUCUGCUGGAAACAAUUCAUUAAACCGAGCCUACAUUUGGGGGUGCUCCUCCCUCUGUUUUCUUUUAAUUCGCCUUCUUUUUGGGUGGGAGGAAGGACAGAUAGUGCUCAAAACUGAAAGAUGAUUAUGCUUUCCACUGUUGUACUUGUGUCACCAAUCCGCUGCUGAUUCAGAAAGGCCAAAAUGCCACUGGCCCGCAUGGGUGUGAUUCCAUCUCCCCAGGGAAGACAAGCUUCUGCGCUGAUGUGAGUAAGGAGCGUUCCGUGAUGACUCUUACUCCCUUUCCAACUUCCUGAAAACUCUUUGCCCAACUCCUUGUGUAAUACAGCCAGUGCUUAGCCAAGGUUCAACUGAGGAAAUUAUGAAGUAAUUUUUUUUAAAAAAAGAAAAGGGUGCUACAGGGCAUGUGCAAAAUCCUUCUCCCUCAUAUAACCCAGUAUCAUGGAAUAGGAGCAGAACUUCCAAGCCAAGCAAGGCCAGCUGGAUCCUCAGAAAAUCCUCUCUUUUUUUAGACUGAAAGCAGAGCUGCUUUGUGUGAAUGAACAGGAGUGGACCUUGCUAUACGGUCGUGUAGUCACGGUGUUUUGUGGAUCCUGAGAUCAGGUUGUGUGACUCCAACAUUUCCAAGUACAAAGCUGCCCUUGGCUCAACCCACCAUAUCAGGGUCUGUGGGGUGCUUGUAUUUUAAAAAUAAACAAUUACACUGUAAGGAGCAAUUGGCUGCAGGCAGGGGGUUUCUUCCAGCAGCACCUCAGUUUCAGCAAUCAUGACAGUGCAUUCAGCAGGCAGGUGAGUCAUGAACCAAGCACAGUUGUAGUGCAUCAGCAAUGCCCUGUGCUUUGCAACUGUGCCCUCAUUUCCAGACCUGUGCAGGAGAGCUGAUUCACGUGAUCUGCCGGAAGUUCGCGCAGGGUGAGGCUGCACACCAGGUCUGUGGUGUUCAGGUCUCAUCGAAACACUAGCUCCACAGAAAGGGCCGGUGUGGGGGGUGGCACUAUGCCAGGAAGUUCUGCAUAAAGGUUGGGCCAAACCAAACAUCUCAAUG